AUUGAACGCUGGCGGCAUGCCUUAUACAUGCAAGUCGAACGGAAACAGGUCUUGCGUUGCUGACGAGUGGUGAACGCGUGCGUAAUACAACGGAACGUGUCCAGACGUGGGGGAAAACGAGGCGAAAGCUUUGCUAAUACCGCAUACCAUCUAAGGUUGAAAGCAGGGGACCGCAAGGCCUAGAGCGUUUGGAGCUGCCGAUGGCAGAUGAGGUAGUUGGUGGGAUAAAAGCUUACCAAGCCGACGAUCUGUAGCUGGUCUGAGAGGACGACCCGCCACACUGGAACUGAGACACGGCCCAGACUCCUACGGGAGGCAGCAGUGGGGAAUUUUGGACAAUGGGCGAAAGCCUGACCCAGCAACGCCGCGUGCAGGAUGAAGGCCUUCGGGUUGUAAACCGCUUUUAUACGGAACGAAAAGGCUCUGGCUAAUACCUGGGGCACAUGACGGUACCGAAAGAGUAAGCACCGGCUAACUACGUG
rnacentral:rRNA from 1 species